rnacentral:rRNA from 1 species
AUUGAACGCUGGCGGCAGGCCUAACACAUGCAAGUCGAGCGGAUGAAGGGAGCUUGCUCCUGGAUUCAGCGGCGGACGGGUGAGUAAUGCCUAGGAAUCUGCCUGGUAGUGGGGGAUAACGUCCGGAAACGGGCGCUAAUACCGCAUACGUCCUGAUGGAGAAAGUGGGGGAUCUUCGGACCUCACGCUAUCAGAUGAGCCUAGGUCGGAUUAGCUAGUUGGUGGGGUAAAGGCCUACCAAGGCGACGAUCCGUAACUGGUCUGAGAGGAUGAUCUGUCACACUGGAACUGAGACACGGUCCAGACUCCUACGGGAGGCAGCAGUGGGGAAUAUUGGACAAUGGGCGAAAGCCUGAUCCAGCCAUGCCGCGUGUGUGAAGAAGGUCUUCGGAUUGUAAAGCACUUUAAGUUGGGAGGAAGGGCAGUAAGUUAAUACCUUGCUGUUUUGACGUUACCAACAGAAUAAGCACCGGCUAACUUCGUG